rnacentral:lncRNA from 1 species
UUUUUUAUUUUUAAACUGCUGUAUAGUGUAUAAAAUAAUGAAAAGUUGUAGGAUUGCCAAUGAGACAACUAUCCACCAAAUUUGAGACGAUGUGGAUGUGAACAAUAAUAUACAACUGUGCAGACUUCAACAAUGAGAAAACCCAUACCGUAUUGUCGGCUACAAAAGACCAAGACAUAAACAAUAUAUGAAACAAUUCAAUGUAGAAAAAUUAACGACCUAAUUUAUAACAAAACAAUAUAAGAAUGUUAAAGUGCAGCCCGUAUUGAAAACAUGGAAAUUUGCCAUGAACCCAGACUUGGGGCGCUAAAAUUCCUCUCCAAAUCGUAUUAGAUCAGGC